rnacentral:tRNA from 2 species
GCGCCGGUGGUCUAGUGGUAUGACAAGGGCCUUCCAAGCCCUCGACCCGGGUUCAAUUCCCGGCCGGCGCA